rnacentral:tRNA from 1 species
GCGGCUGUGGUCUAGUCUGGUCUAGGAUGGGAGCCCUCCAAGCUUCCGAUCGCGGGUUCAAAUCCCGCCAGCCGCA